rnacentral:rRNA from 1 species
UAAUUCUCUAGUGGCGCACGGGUGAGUAACACGUGAGUAACCUGCCCCCGAGAGCGGGAUAGCCCUGGGAAACUGGGAUUAAUACCGCAUAGUAUCGAAAGAUUAAAGCAGCAAUGCGCUUGGGGAUGGGCUCGCGGCCUAUUAGUUAGUUGGUGAGGUAACGGCUCACCAAGGCGAUGACGGGUAGCCGGUCUGAGAGGAUGUCCGGCCACACUGGAACUGAGACACGGUCCAGACUCCUACGGAAGGCAGCAG